rnacentral:tRNA from 1 species
AAAAAGGUAAGCUAAAACAAGCUAUCGGGUUCAUACCUCGUCCAUGGGGGUUGUAAUCCCCCCCUUUUUA